AUUGAACGCUGGCGGCAUGCUUUACACAUGCAAGUCGAACGGUAACAGGGUGCUUGCACCGCUGACGAGUGGCGAACGGGUGAGUAAUGCGUCGGAACGUGCCGAGUAGUGGGGGAUAACGAAGCGAAAGUUGUUCUAAUACCGCAUACGUACUGAGGUAGAAAGUGGGGGACCUGCGGGCCUCACGCUAUUCGAGCGGCCGACGUCUGAUUAGCUAGUAGGUGAGGUAAAGGCUCACCUAGGCGACGAUCAGUAGCGGGUCCGAGAGCACGACCAGUCACACGGGCACUGAGACACGGGCCCGACUCCUACGGGAGGCAGCAGUAAGGAAUAUUGGGCAAUGGACGCAAGUCUGACCCAGCCAUGCCGCGUGGAGGAUGAAGAUCCUCUGGAUUGUAAACUUCUUUUAUCUGGGAAGAAAUCCAUCUUUUCUUGGGUGGUUGACGGUACCAGAUGAAUAAGCACCGGCUAACUCCGUGCCAGCCGCCGCCGUAA
rnacentral:rRNA from 1 species